GGGUGCGACCAUAUCAGCACUAACGCACCGGAUCCCGUCAGAACAACGAAGUUAAGCGUGCAUGGGCGAGAAUAGUACUAGGAUGGUUGGCCCCCUGGGAAGUCCUCCUGUUGCACCCC
rnacentral:rRNA from 1 species